CGAAAGCCUGACGGAGCAACGCCGCGUGAGGGAUGGAGGCCUUUGGGCUGUAAACCUCUUUUCUCAAGGAAGAAGAUCUGACGGUACUUGAGGAAUAAGCCACGGCUAAUUCCGUGCCAGCAGCCGCGGUAAUACGGGAGUGGCAAGCGUUAUCCGGAAUUAUUGGGCGUAAAGCGUCCGCAGGCGGCCGUUUAAGUCUGUUGUUAAAUCGUGGAGCUCAACUCCAUCACGGCAAAGGAAACUGUUCGGCUUGAGUAUGGUAGGGGCAGAGGGAAUUUCCGGUGUAGCGGUGAAAUGCGUAGAUAUCGGGAAGAACACCAGUGGCGAAAGCGCUCUGCUGGGCCAUUACUGACGCUCAUGGACGAAAGCCAGGGGAGCGAAAGGGAUUAGAUACCCCUGUAGUCCUGGCCGUAAACGAUGGACACUAGAUGUUGGGGGAAUCGACCCCCUCGGUGUCGUAGCUAACGCGUUAAGUGUUCCGCCUGGGGAGUACGCACGCAAGUGUAAAACUCAAAGGAAUUGACGGGGGCCCGCACAAGCGGUGGAGUAUGUGGUUUAAUUCGAUGCAACGCGAAGAACCUUACCAAGGCUUGACAUCCUGCGAAUCUCUAAGAAAUUAGAGAGUGCCUUCGGGAACGCAGUGACAGGUGGUGCAUGGCUGUCGUCAGCUCGUGUCGUGAGAUGUUGGGUUAAGUCCCGCAACGAGCGCAACCCACGUUUUUAGUUGCCAGCAUUCAGUUGGGCACUCUAGAAAGACUGCCGGUGACAAACCGGAGGAAGGUGUGGACGACGUCAAGUCAUCAUGCCCCUUACGCCUUGGGCUACACACGUACUACAAUGCUGCGGACAAAGAGUAGCGAUCUUGCGAAAGUUAGCUAAUCUCAUAAACCGUGGCUCAGUUCAGAUCGUAGGCUGCAACUCGCCUACGUGAAGGAGGAAUCGCUAGUAAUCGCAGGUCAGCAUACUGCGGUGAAUACGUUCCUGGGCCUUGUACACACCGCCCGUCACACCAUGGAAGUUGGCCAUGCCCGAAGUCGUUACUCUAACCUUUUGGAAGAGGGCGCCGAAGGCAGGGCUAAUGACUGGGGUGAAGUCGUAACAAGGUAGCCGUAGCGGAAGCUGCGGCUGGACCACCUCCUAA
rnacentral:rRNA from 1 species